rnacentral:lncRNA from 1 species
GAUCUAAAUAUUAUAUAUCAGAUAUAAUCUAAAUUAAAUUAUAGAUCUAUAUGCAUAUAACAUCAUGUCAUAUCGAACUAUGGCUCUGAUACCAUUGUUAUGAUGCAUAGGAGUUUCACGCAUGCAUUUCAAAAAUUUUUCAGUGAAAAAAUAUUAGAUUAAACUAUUUAAUCUAUAAAAAUAUAUAUAUAAUUUGAUCUUAAAACUCUUACAAAUAGAUUGAUGAUAUAAAUUUAUAUGCAUAAAAAUUUGAAUCUAAAAUGACAAGCAUAUGAACCAAAAAUAGCAUUUAAUAAUAAAUCUAAUCUACCACUUCU